rnacentral:rRNA from 1 species
UACGUAGGGGGCAAGCGUUGUCCGGAAUCAUUGGGCGUAAAGCGCGUGUAGGCGGUUCGGUAAGUCUGCUGUGAAAGUCCAGGGCUCAACCCUGGGAUGCCGGUGGAUACUGUCGAGCUAGAGUACGGAAGAGGCGAGUGGAAUUCCCGGUGUAGCGGUGAAAUGCGUAGAGAUCGGGAGGAACACCUGUGGCGAAGGCGGCCGACUGGGCCGACCCUGACGCUGAGGCGCGAAGGCGUGGGGAGCGAACGGG